UACGUAGGGUGCAAGCGUUGUCCGGAAUUAUUGGGCGUAAAGAGCUCGUAGGCGGUUUGUUGCGUCGGCUGUGAAAUCCCGAGGCUCAACCUCGGGUCUGCAGUCGAUACGAGCAAACUAGAGUGUUGCAGGGGAGACUGGAAUUCCUGGUGUAGCGGUGAAAUGCGCAGAUAUCAGGAGGAACACCGGUGGCGAAGGCGGAUCUCUGGGCCUUACCUGACGCUGAGGCGCGAAAGCUAGGGGAGCGAACAGG
rnacentral:rRNA from 1 species